rnacentral:rRNA from 1 species
UACGUAGGGUGCGAGCGUUGUCCGGAAUUAUUGGGCGUAAAGAGCUCGUAGGCGGUUUGUUGCGUCUAUCGUGAAAACCUGCAGCUUAACUGUGGGCUUGCGGUGGAUACGGGCAGACUAGAGUGCGGUAGGGGAGACUGGAAUUCCUGGUGUAGCGGUGAAAUGCGCAGAUAUCAGGAGGAACACCGGUGGCGAAGGCGGGUCUCUGGGCCGUAACUGACGCUGGAGGAGCGAAAGCGUGGGGAGCGAACAGG